AGCACUUUGCGUCUCCAGCCCCCAUAACCACUACCCGAAAAGGGGAUAGGAACAAGUGGUACCCCAGGGACAUCAGAAGAGUACAAAAAAAGGGGACUAGAGGAAUCUACAGUGGUAGGAAUACCAGUGCUUGUGCUAGAAGCCAUAAUGAACCGACUUAAACGAAUAACUUGUCAACAAACAGGAUUGUACUACCAAAACAAGUAUACAAACACAGUAACUAACAAACAAACAACAGUUAGGUCAAGUAAUCACAGAUACCACAAGAUGCUCACAAUUACAGAGUCAAGUAAUCACACAUAAAUCAAGGAUAAGGACAGAGUUGCCCUCCUUCUUCGCAACCGG
rnacentral:lncRNA from 1 species